rnacentral:rRNA from 1 species
CUAAGAAUAUUCCGCAAUGGACGGAAGUCUGACGGAGCGACGCCGCGUGGAUGACGAGGGCCGAAAGGUUGUAAAGUUCUUUUGCUGGGGAAGAAUAACCGCAGGAGGGAAUGCCUGUGGGAUGACAAGAACCGGCGAAUAAGCCCCGGCCAACUACGUGCCAGCAGCCGCGGUAACACGUAGGGGGCGAGCGUUGUUCGGAAUUACUGGGCGUAAAGGGCAUGUAGGCGGCUUGGAAAGCCUGGCGUGAAAGUCUGCAGCUUAACUGCAGGGGUGCGCUGGGAACUGCUGAGCUUGAGUGACGGAGAGGGAGCUGGAAUUCCUGGUGUAGGGGUGAAAUCUGUAGAUAUCAGGAAGAACACCGAUGGCGAAGGCAAGCUCCUGGCCGAUGACUGACGCUGAGGUGCGAAAGUGUGGGGAUCAAACAGGAUUAGAUACCCUGGUAGUCCACACAGUCAACGAUGUGCACUAGGUGCUGGGGCGGUAGCUUCGGUGCCGGAGCGAACGUGGUAAGUGCACCGCCUGGGGAGUAUGCUCGCAAGGGUG